UGAUAAGUUGCUCCUUAUGAGUAAUUUUAGUUAAGCAUAGAGAAGUCAUUUAGCGGUGUACUUUCUCUAUGCUUUUAUUAUAUCA
rfam:Lactococcus lactis subsp. cremoris TIFN6 scaffold87.1_1, whole genome shotgun sequence.